rnacentral:lncRNA from 1 species
UCGUCUUUCUGGUCGAGAUUCUUCUUGCAUGUGUAGCAGAAGCUGAGAAAAUUAUUGUCAGAUGCAGGGCUGAUAGACUUUUCUGAUAAACAACGGUAGGUUUCUUCAACGACGCAGUCAUCAAAAAUAUGAGUGGUUUUUGGAUUAGGUCCGUGGGAGAUUACACAAGUAUAAUCCUCAGAAAGCUCCAUUUCACUCACGGAAAGGGGACGAGGAGAGAAAUCUUUCACCGUCUGGACUCCUGUAUUUCCAGACCCAAAUCCAGAGUUCCUCGUCUUGAUUCCAAAAUCAGCCGGAGAUCUUGGCGACUCGGAAGGGGAGAUUGUGGAGGUGGGUGGCAAUGGAGGUAUAUGGACCCUGAGUUUGGCUCCAAACAAGACCAUUUUACUUGUGGGUCUUGUAGAAUCAUUGUCUUCUUCGAUGGGUUUGUCAUCGAUGAGAGCUAGACAAAUGCCUUUUGGGUCUAGUUUUUCAAAUUUAUCUGGAACAGAUUUUGGGGAUUUAGGUUGAGAAUCUUGCAAGAAAGGAUUGUUGCUUAAAGGAAAGAGUGUUUGUUUGUCGAGAAUUGAAGUUGGGCUUUUGAGGGAUUCGGUUUCAAAGAGAGUUUUAGCAGUGAAAGCUUUGAAUCUUGGGGAAUUGAAGAAGGAAGUAAUG